AAUCUGGCCACACUGACACCAACCCCUCUCUAGUUGAUAUUUAUUGGAUCAGCCAGGAGAAAGAAAAUUCACAAACUGUUCCUUGUUUUCUGCUCGGAUUUGCCGUAACAAACAAUAACCCACCAGCCAACGUACACCAACUAGCUUGCGUGCGUUUAGCUGCGAAUUGCUUGCCAGUGCACGUAUUUCGUCUACCAUCGCGGGGAAGUGUGUUAAAAUCGCAAGCAUGAAUACCUUCUAAACAACAACAACACAGACCAAACCUGCUUUGCUGGAGAGGGGGGGUUUUGCUCGAAGGCUCGGAGGCAAGUUCGGACGUGGUAAAGUGACUACUGUGCAGGGUACCAUCGGCCACGCAAAAUGGGUCUGUUUGCAAGCAGACAGAAUGCCACCGUCGAGGAAACGGACGUGAGCCUGAACCAUCUGUACAAGUAUCCACCCCGGUCGGGCAACUACUUCGGAACGCAUUUCAUCAUGGGCGGUGAAAGGUUCGAUACUCCCCAGCCGGAAGCGUACUUAUUUGGCGAGAAUGCUGAUUUGAACUUUUUAGGUUCCAAGCCAACCCCCUUCCCUUACCCACCGCCACAAGCGACGGAACCGACGAAAACGCUGAAAAGUCUUGUCAACAUUCGCAAAGAGUCGGUGCGCUUUGUGAAGGUGCUGGACGCGGGUGGUAACGGUGUCGUCAAGCCGGCUGGGGGCGAUCAAGUCGCAAAGCCCAACCCCGCGACGACGACGACGACGACGACAACCAACGGUACCAUCAGCAAUGGCUACAACAUCGAGUUCAUCUUCGACGCCGAUUCGCCCUGCCACAUCACUAUCUACUACUUCUGCAUUGAGGACAUCGGGCCGGGCGGAUCGAAUUACAUUUCGCGCGAUUCCUCCAUGACGUCGGAAACGUUCCACUUCCAGCGGGGUGUCAAUCAGCUGUUCUCGGCCCCGCACCACAUCAUCUACCCGGCACUGUACGCGGAGGAAAACCUGUCCUACAGCCCGGACAAGGAUACGUUCCCCGUCGUCAUCCACUGUGUCGUCGGUGAGGCGGCCACCGGUGGUGGCAACAGUGCGGUCGCUAACAGCAACACCACCACCGUUACCACCAUUACCAACAACAACAGUGCGCUCACUGCCGGCGUAGCGAGCGACGGUGGCGGCGAUAGUGGUGGGGCCGGCCCGGGCAGCCGCCAGUCGCAUGCCACGAUCUGCGUAAUCGAUCACCAUUCCGACGGGACGUACGCGCUGCGUGCGCUGAAGCAGAAGAUCUUCGUCGACGGGCUGUACUAUCUGCUGCAGGAGAUCUACGGCAUCGAGAACAAGCUGGCGAACAAAACGGUCACGGACGAGGAGACGGAGGACAACGGGAGCGAGUGCGUCAUCUGCAUGUGCGACACACGCGACACACUGAUACUGCCCUGCCGGCAUCUGUGCCUGUGCAACUCGUGCGCGGACUCGCUGCGCUAUCAGGCGAACAACUGUCCGAUCUGCCGGGCACCGUUCCGUGCGCUGCUGCAGAUCCGGGCCGUGCAGAAGGAGGGUGCCGGUGGCGGGGGUGGCUUACCGUGUGGUGGCAGUACACCGGCGGCACAGAAUUCGGCCGACAGCGCUGAUAACAUUCCGGCCGGUUACAAGACCAUAUCACUGAUCGAAGCACUGAACGGGCCGACGCUUUCAAUGAAAGCGAUCAACGGCAGCACCGACUCAACCGCUGGCACCGAAAAUGGUAGCGAGAAUAAUCGGAGCACCGAGAAUGGUUUCGGAUUCCGCAACAAAAUGACCAAGUCAUCCACCGAUCACAGCAGCAACGGUGAGCUCGCCAACGGAAGCAUCGUUUCGGAAAAGUCGUCCUCCGACAUCCGGAUGCAUUUACUAGCUUCCGAUGAAACGAACGCCAUCGCCGAGGCCGGUUCCGGCGGCACGAACGUCGGCGGCAUAGCGAAUCCCACCACCGUCUGCACCAAGAAGGAGCUGCUCUCGAAACAUUCGCCCUUGAUGCAGCGAGCACCGGUCAGCAAGGACAAGAACCCGCGCGAAAAGGGCAGUCUGCACCGAAUCGGAAACAGCGGCACGAACGGGUCGAACGGUGGAGCUUUGGUUUCAUCCAAAUCGAAAUCACCCUCCGACCGCACGAUCGGGUUCCAUCUGGUGCACGAGAAACCGGCAGCGCCCGGGGCAGCGCUGGUGGGCAAAAUGCCCGACUCGAAGCUCACCGAUCUGACGGAAAACGACGACGACAGUGAGGCGGAAAAGCUUUCCCCACUGCUGCGCAAAUCGGACAGCUACGAUGCGGGCAGUAAGCUCGGAGACAUGGCGAUGAAGAAGCUGCUGAUCGGUGGCUCGGGAACCAUCGGUGAGCCGGUGAAGGAAAAAACAUCGCCCUCCGCUGUGAUAAAGGAGCUGCUGAAGGGUGCCAUCAUCGGGAGCGAUGAUAUCGGCGUGGAGGGCGGAGCCGUUGAGAUGGGACUGGUCGGAGGGAACAGGGGCGCCGGUGGUGCAAUUAUAUCGAUCGUGACUGACGAUUCGGAGGACUUCUACACGCCCGAAGAUCCGCCGGCAACCAGCCCACUGAAAUCGAUCGACGAUGACGACGACGAGCUGCCCAAGCUGGCCGAGAUAGAUACGGGCCGGAAAAUGCUUGUAGCUGCUGCCGCUACCACCGCCCCCGGAGCUAACCUGGGCUCGGCGCCGCCGGCGGCACUCUCCGUACUGAAGGAAGAGUUCUCGCAGGGAUCACUGCCGGACAGCCCGAUCAGUGGCAAUUCGCAAACGUCGACGCGCAGCUCGAGCGACAGCUACUCGUCCAGCUCCAGCACCCGGCAGCUGCUGUCGUCCGGUGCAGUGCCCAACGACACACCGACGCACGUGCUGAGCUCGUGCGAUUCGACGGCGAACGGCCACAGCAGCGUAUCGAAAGCGGCCGAGUGCGGCAUCGAGAGUGAUUAAGCUGCGGCUGCCGAUGGUCGGAUUGAGCGAUGCAGUGGUGCUACAGGAUUAGGAAAACGUUUCUUCGUAUAUUGGAACAUUAUGUAGGCGUUCCAAAUAAACGGACAUACCAGUAAGUGCAAUCCCCCGGAAGGAAGGUGUCACCAAAAUGUACACCCAACACCCACAACCAGGAUGUCAUCGUCUUUGUCUUCUACGCCUUCUUCUUCUUAUUCUUCUUCUUCUUAUUCGCCAUAUGAUCGUACAUCAUAAAACAUUUGUAUUGUCUGUUUCGCAAUAGCCUUCUUCCCUCGUUCGUUCUCCUCCAUCAUCAUCAUCAUCAUCAUUAUCAUCAACCAUCUCUAAUCUUUCCUCCUCCCUCUCUUCAACUUAAAGUCAUUAUAUUGGCUGUCGUGCAUUCACUGCCGAUGGCCAGGAUCUGUGUUAGGUUAAUUUUUUUCCAUUUUUAUUUGACUGUUAAGUACUCUACCGGAACAAACACACGUAGCAUAGCAUUCAAUGGUAAAUGUAAGUGUGCGUAAUAUGAUAAUAAAAACGAUAUUUUCAUAUUUAAACCAAAAGCAGUAUGUAACAUUA